UCCCGGCCGGGUGCGCGGGGACGUCCCCGCCCGUAGGGACGCUCCGGCGGCGGCACUUCCCCCUACCUCAAGGCUGAGGCUCCUGCAAGCCGCGGCGCUGGCGGGGCUCCUCCUCUGCGAGCGGCGGCGAGGAAGCUGCUGCCGGAGCCGCCGCGGGAGCGUGAGCCCGGGGCACCCCGGCGGUGAUCCUAUGAAUUACUGAAGUUGUUCAAAACCAACAAUGCCAAGGAGCUGGUGACAUUCCUGUUGCAGCUAUGGAUUUGGAUAGAUCCUCUGUCUGGGGAUCCCUGAAACAGAAAACCAGGCCUUUGUUACAAAACUUCAACAUAAAGAUGACAAAGAAAAGCUCUAGAAAAAUGAUGGCUAGAAGGCAAAGGCAUACCUUGGACCGACACCUCAGCGUAUCUGUGCCUGACAUACUGGAGAGUGAGUCUUUCACAGGCAAAGAAACUACUUAUUCAGGUUCCCAGGCCUUGUCCACCUAUAUCCCCAGCACUCUUUCCAGCUCGGUCAUGUCUCUCAAGAGCAGCAGCACUUCUUUGAAACGGGCAGGAGAGGACCUGCAAUGGAGACAGCAGGAGGCUGUGCACACAGAGAUCAACAUAACUGAAACAGAAACGGAAGUCAUGUGUGGAUCAGAACCCAGACGGAAAUCCAGCAUUGACCUCUUUGCGUUGCUUCAGAGAGCACGCCUGAGUGGUGAUCUGACAGAAGAAAUGACUGAGCAUCCAUGUGAAGGGAUAGAUCUGGAAUCUUCAAUGUCCUCUCAACUUUUUGAUGAACAAAUUGCUUCUGAGGAAGGAAAUGACUAUUUGAGCAGCUUGUCCAGCUCCUUUGCUUACCUACUGACAAUACACCUGAAAGAAGGCCGGAACCUGGUCAUUAGGGAUCGCUGUGGUACAAGUGAUCCAUACGUGAAAUUUAAAUUGAAUGGAAAAACUCUAUACAAAAGUAAGGUCAUCUACAAAAACCUAAAUCCAGUUUGGGAUGAAAUUGUUGUGUUGCCAAUACGGACUCUUGAUCAGAAGCUCCGGGUCAAGGUAUAUGAUCGAGAUUUAGCCUCCUCUGACUUUAUGGGAUCUGCAUUUGUGGUGCUUAGCAACCUUGAGCUCAACAGAACUACUGAACAGAUUUUAAAAUUGGAAGAUACAAACAGUAUAGAAGAUGAUAUGGGAGAGAUUGUGUUAAACUUGAGUCUAACAGUCAAGCAAGGAGACUUCAAGAGAACUAGAUGGUCAAAUCGGAAGAAACAAACUUCAUCCAAGUCAAGUUUCAUACGAAAUAUGCGACUGUCUGAAUCCAUGCGAAAGAACGAAAUAUGGAAUGGAAUUGUGACAAUCACUUUAUUGGAAGGGAAGAAUAUCCCAGGAGGGGGCAUGAUACAGAUUUUUGUCCUAUUAAAACUGGGAGAUCAAAAAUAUAAAAGUAAGACACUGUGUAAGAGUGCAAAUCCUCAGUGGAGGGAACAGUUUGAUUUUCACUACUUCUCUGACAGGAAGGAUAUGUUGGACAUUGAGGUCUGGGGAGAGGAUAACAAAAAGCGUGAGGAGCUUUUGGGAAUGUGUAAAGUGGAUAUUACUGCACUACCUAGCAAGCAGACCAAUGUUCUAGAACUGCCAGUGGAGAAGCAUCUGGGGUCUCUGCUUAUGCUAAUUGCUGUUACCCCCUGUUCAGGGGUUUCUAUCUCUGAUCUGUGUGUCUGCCCCUUGGGAGACCCCAGUGAAAGGAAACAGAUUUCCCAGCGCUAUUGUAUAAAGAACUCCCUUCAGGACAUGAAGGAUGUAGGCUUCUUACAGGUCAAAGUUUUAAAGGCCGUCGACCUGUUGGCAGCAGAUUUUUCAGGUAAAAGUGACCCUUUCUGUGUGUUAGAGUUGGGCAACGUCAGACUUCAGACCCACACAGUUUACAAAAACCUCAACCCAGAGUGGAACAAAGUUUUCACCUUCCCUAUUAAAGAUAUCCACGAUGUUCUUGAAGUGACAGUGUUUGAUGAAGAUGGAGAUAAACCCCCUGAUUUUCUUGGAAAAGUUGCUAUCCCUUUGCUGUCUAUUAGAAAUGGACAGCAAUGUUGUUAUACAUUGAAGAAUAAAGACCUGGAACUUGCUUCAAAAGGAGUAGUUUGCUUGGAGUUGGAUGUCCUAUUUAAUCCAGUAAAAGCAAGUAUCAGAACCUUCAAGCCACGAGAAAAGCGCUUCAUUGGAGACAACCGCAAGUUUUCAAAGAAGAUCUUAUCGAGAAAUGUUGAUCGUGUGAAAAAAAUCACCAUGGCGAUAUGGAAUACAAUACAAUUCCUAAGGAGCUGCUUUCUCUGGGAAUCUACACUAAGGAGUGUGGUAGCAUUUGUGGUAUUUGUGGUCACUGUUUGGCACAUAGAGCUUUACAUGGUGCCUCUGGCUUUGUUGCUGCUCUUUGUGUACAACUUCUCUCUGAUCACAACAGGGAAGGUCAGCAGUGCCCAGGACACCCAGGAGACCAUAUACCUAGAUGAGGAUGAAGAUGAGGAUGACAAGGAAUCUGAGAAAAAGGGAUUAAUUGAAAGAAUCCACAUGGUCCAGGAUAUUGUUAUAACAGUUCAAAACAUCUUAGAAGAAAUAGCCUCAUUUGGAGAAAGAAUUAAAAAUGCAUUCAACUGGACAGUACCUUUCCUGUCGGUCCUGGCCUGCUUAGUAUUGACAGCAGUGACAGUUAUUUUGUAUUUCAUACCAUUGAGGUACAUUGUUUUAAUCUGGGGUAAGUGCUUCAUAAUAUUGGCUUUGCAUGGGAAGAAUCCAAUAUUAAUUUAUAAAUGGGAAUAAUAAAUCUUUAAACUUGGUGUUACAGGCAUAAAAUAUUUGGGGUAAGCACUAUGAGGAUAAUAAACACUCCAUAAGCCUUGGUGGAAAUGAACAUUUGUACUGGAGAUCAGACUUUCUGCUGGUACACUAAGAAUUUACCUAUUCUGAGCUUUUUCUUGAAAUGUUCUCAUGGUUACGAUAAGGGGAGCCUUAGUGUAGACAAAAUGCUGCCAGCAUCUUUACUAUUGGGUUGUCUAGACUCUCACUGAUCAGAAUAAGAUGACAGUGGUUAAAAGACUAAUGCUCAAGCUCCCAUUGGUGGAUCGACACAACUGAUUGGAAAAUUAAGGAAAAGCGAGAGGCACAUCCUGGAGGGAUCACAAGCAUCCCCUCUGGCUUUGGAAUCUAUGAACUGACAAGAUGUGUCUGAAAGGUUUAAACACUAAGGGCCAAUCCUGCAAGAUGUUAAAUUCUGUGGAGGUUGAGGGUGCUCAGCAAAUAGCUAGAGGCAUUUAACACCUUUCUGGAGUGGGAGAUGGAUGGGGAGGAAUUGGUCAGGGUCGUAUGAAGGUACAUGGUUAAAUUUUACUCGGCUGAAAAUAGAAAAGAGGGGAAAAAAUAAGUUUCAAAAUUGUCUGACAGUGCCAAGACUGUGGUAUAGUCUCUCAUGAUAAGUGACAGAAGCCCUGUUGCUGGAGACAUUUCAGUCUUGUGCUAGACAAAGCACUAACGCAUGUAUUGUACUGUAGCCCUGCAAUAGCAGAGUUGAGAGGGUGGACUGUAUAACCCAGUAGGUAUUUUUCUGGAUCUGGUUUCAAAAAUGAUUUGGGUGAAAUAUUAUUCAUUUCUAUUACUUGAUUGACUUGGUUCUUUCUAGUCAAUUAAAGUAAUGAAACAUGCCCCUGUAAGUUGCAUUCCAAAUGAGGGAGAGAGAUAAAUGUAUGUCAAAGGGAAGGGGGAGGGGGCAAAUGUACAAGCAAAUGGUUGACAUGCCUAUGGACACAGAGUUGUUAUCCAGUUGUAUGAAAAUAAUUUUGGGAAUUGAACAGGUGGCUCAGUAGCUGGUUGGUCUGUAGGAGGUGAUAAGAACACAUAACAGUAGAUUCACAUUUAGGAAUGGGUGACUGGAUUGGAGGAAAAUAGGAAUCGGCCCACACUUCUGUACACAUUUUGAACCACACCUGAAAUUGUUGGUAGGUUCACAAAAUUUGGGACCCAGCCCUUAUAAGUGGCUUCCUGCCUCAGUUGAAAUCCUUCUGAGUAUCUCAGCAAGUUUGGCAGUCUCUGCUUCCUUUCAGUUAUUAUGAGUUCCAAGGUCAGGAAAAAGUGGUGUGUGUGUGUGUGUGUGUGUGUGUGUGUGUGUGUGUGUGUGUGUGUGUGUAUUAGGGGCUGCUUCCGAGUCUGUGGAAUGGAGCACCCAGGCCAGUGCCUCACAGUGUAUGUGUAAGACCUAGGAAAUCACUUGCCCUUGUCAGACAGCAUAUCAUUAGCUGUCGGGAGUGGGAUGUGAGUUAGAAAGAGGGGGCUUAGUUUUGAGGGAGGAAUGGGAAGGGAGGGGUCAAUAAAGAGGUAAAGGAGAAGGAUCUGACUAAGUUGGGAGAAAGAAGUAUCUAAACCUUUCAAAGCCGUUAAGUAUCCAAAUAUCAGCUGGAUCUUCUCAACAAAUCUUGUAGCUCUUUACAUCCUUUCAGAGAAGUUGGACCAAAUCCAGUAAAGUCAGGGACAUUUCUUAAGGUUUUUGUGUAAUCACAAUGCAGUGUUUAAAAUAAUAAUAAAUUGUAAUUGUGUUUUGCUGCUCCCAUGGAAGAUGCCCAACUUUACUGGUAUAUUUGAUCUAAUGUUCAGGGUUUUGUGUAGUUUCCUGCUCUCACUGCCCAUUAUAGAGAAUCCAGGUGUACACACAUUACUGACCUGAUUUUCAAUGGGGCUGCAACUUCUGUGUGCAUUUUGGAACCAGGGAAUAAAAUUUUUGUAUGCAGAUUUAUGCCUGUAUUAAUAGAGCUCAUAGUCUGAAAAUAAGGCCCUUAAUGUAUGUCUGUAAUAAGAGAAAGUUGGAUUUUUUUUUCUCAGAAUGUUUUUGUCACCCUUCAUCAAUUUCCUUGGUUAUUUACAAUGCUAAAUCUGGGUAGGGGUGAAAGAACAAAAACCAGAGGGCAGGGUAGCCUCAUCAAACAACUUUGCAAUGUCACACCAUCAUGUAACUGUAUGCUUCUGGACAGUGGUCAACCCUGAUUAGUUUUAUAGUGUUGAAUCAUCCGCUAAUGUCAGUCUAACAUUAGGGGCUGGAUAUGAGGAGAAUGAGUGGAUGAUACUUUCAAAAGCUGGAGCUGGGAGAAAAACAGUAAAAUGAAUUAUUGAAUUCAACAAAAGAGCGAAUGAAAAGAAAAGAGAGAGGAAAUUCCCGUGAACUAAAAGUUCAGUAACAAUAUGUUUCUGCCUCAAUGUGGAAGACAUCCAGAGUACACCAAAGCUAUACAUCCAGUCAACAUCAUCUAGACUGACAGGGCCUUCAAAUAUGAUACAUGUUAAACAACUACCCUGUGGCAAGGCCUCAAAGGACCUUAUGAUAUUUUCUGUUUUUAAAAAUCAGGUAUACAGAAAAUUGCAUUGGCAUUUUGCUACAACAAUAUAGCUUAAAAGCUGCAUUCAUAUUUGAAGCAGGUACAUUUGAGAGAGAGAGAGAGCAGCAAGGGAGAGAGUGGAAGUCAUUGCAUUUGAAACCAUGUGCAGAGAAACUACGGUGAAAUUUUAACUUGGGCUGUGAUUAGAUUAGGUGCUUGUGACCUCUUUCUUUGCUUAUAGGAUACCAAUAUCUUAAUUUUCAAGCUGCAUUAUUAUUUACUCUCCUUUUCCUAAUAAGACUUAACUCUCCUAUGGCACAUUUCAGCCUUCCAUCUAAAAAGCUUACUAUACAGAAGGAUAAGCCACAUGACAAAUUCUAGUUUCCAAAUGGGGAAACUGAGUCAAAGAGAAGUUGAGUGGCUUGCCUAAAUUGACACUGUCAGAGCUGGGAAUAAAGCCCAGGCUCCUGACUACCAAUGCUGGACCUUGUUCAUGUUUUUGCUCAGAGAAUAGUCUGGAUCAAAGUUGUAUGGUGCUCCCCCUCUGAUUUAGGAUUCACACCUUCCAUUUCUACCCACAUCAGGAGAUCCGGUCAGAAAAUGCCAUUUCUGCAAGACUUAAACUGUUCAUGGAAAAGGGUCUUUUUUGAUAAUUUUUAAACUCAAUUUUUAUAAUCUUUUUUUAACAUUUUUUAAACAAAGUUCUGAUUUUUCUGAUUAGAAACAACUUUUUGUUUUGAAAUUUAAGGUAAUUCAAAGAAAAAUAAAUAUGUAAAUAAAAAUGGUCAGCAUUGAAACAAAACAUUUUGGAAUUCUCAAAGUGAAACUCUUUGAUCCACCCAAAUUAAACUUAUUUCAGAUAUUUGGUUCACAGGCAUUUUUGAGAGUUGUAACUUUUUGGCCUGAUUCAGGCCAGGAAAAUUUUUUGAUAUCUGAAAUUUUUUAUGGGAUAAGAAAAUCAUGAUCUGCCCUGCACACCUGGUGAGCCCUGAUUCCACUGCUGGGAUCAUCUACAGCUAAGCACGGUUUGGCUAUCUCUGCAGAGCAAACUAGGGGUGACAUUGCAACGCUUAAUAAAUCAAGUUAUCAACCUUAGUCAGAUCAAAAAAUAAAAUCCUAAUAAGUUUUCACAGUUUCCCACAGCAUCAAAGUACAAUCAAUCUGGCUCUUCAGUGAAAGGAUAAAAAGCUAUGAAACAUGCUGGGGGUGGGGUAGAGGUCCUCAGUCGCUUUCUUUUUCAAACUAAACAAGAAAAAAAACAAACCCUCCUCUGUCCCAUUUCUGUCUUCACCCUCCAACCUCCUAUAUUUUCCCUCAAGCUUCAGGAGAGGACCACAUUCGGUCUAAUGAUGCUAUAUUUCAGAACAGAAUGGGCUGUUAAUCCAUGUAUUCCCCACCUCUACCCCCUUCCCCCCCCCAAAAAUAAAAGAAAAAAAAAGCUGUUGGGUUCCACAGUUUCCGCUUUUUCAGCCACUGCCUCUCUGCUGGUGUGGUAAUGGGAUUUUCAUCAUCCAAGUAAAGCAGAGUCUUUUUAUAUAGUAAUUCCCUUUCCUUCCUUCCUUCCUUCCUUCCUUCCUUCCUUCUAAGAGUGAAUUUGUGAAUGAUUCCACAUGACAGCAACAUGUGCAUGACUUGAAGUCAAGUCAUUGUUUUCACACUCAUUUUUACUUGUGAAUUUCUGUUUUCCCCCCACUUGCCUGAGCAAUUAAAAAUAACUAAAUAAAUAAACUGGGUUUGUAUUGUUUUAUUUUUUUGUU